rnacentral:rRNA from 1 species
UACAGAGGUCUCAAGCGUUGUUCGGAUUCAUUGGGCGUAAAGGGUGCGUAGGUGGUGCUGUAAGUCAGGUGUGAAAUCUCGGUGCUCAACCCCGAAACUGCACUUGAUACUGCAGUGCUCGAGGACUGGAGAGGAGAUUGGAAUUCAUGGUGUAGCAGUGAAAUGCGUAGAUAUCAUGAGGAAGACCAGUGGCGAAGGCGGAUCUCUGGACAGUUCCUGACACUGAGGCACGAAGGCCAGGGGAGCAAACGGG